CCGGCGCUUAAUUUAAACCGGGUUUUGGCGGAUUUAAACCGUGGCUUAAUUUCUUUAAAUUCCAUCUCUAAUCGUUUUAGAGAUACACAGGGUUACCACUAAGGAUAAGUCUCUAGAGACAAUCAAAAAUGUACUGAAUUUGCAGUUUUGGUUCCCAGUAACUGUUAAUUAUUUUAUUCUUUGUCAAAUUAUCUUGUAUACCAUUAUUAUGAUUAUGAUUCGGAUACCUUUAGCAAUAAGAUACACGUUGGUCUCCUCCUAGCUGAUAUAUUCUAUUAGUGUACUAGUCUAGAGCACUGAAUAGUAAUUUGGGAGGGAUAUAAAUAUUUAAACAGUGUUAGAAGUAUUUAUUUAUCAUUACAUUUAGAAGAACAGAAAGAUAUAGAUAUAGAUUAGAUAUAGGUAUUGGUUUAGGUAUAGGUGUAGGGUGUAGGGUAUAGGGUGAAGGUUGCAGGGUUUAGGGUAUAGGGUAUAGAGUAUAGGUAUAGAUUAAAGAUAGGUAUUGGUUUAGGUAUAGGUGUAGGAUGUAGGGUAUAGGGUGAAGGUUGCAGGGUUUAGGGUAUAGGGUAUAGAGUAUAGGUAUAGAUUAGAUAUAGGUAUUGGUUUAGGUAUAGGUGUAGGAUGUAGGGUAUAGGGUGAAGGUUGCAGGGUAUAGGGUAUAGGGUAUAGAGUAUAGAUAUAGAUUAGAUAUAGGUAUUGGUUUAGGUAUAGGUGUAGGGUGUAGGGUAUAGGGUGAAGGUUGCAGGGUUUAGGGUAUAGGGUAUAGAGUAUAGGUAUAGAUUAGAUAUAGGUAUUGGUUUAGCUAUAGGUUUAGGGUGUAGGGUAUAGGGUGAAGGUUGCAGGGUUUAGGGUAUAGGGUAUAGAGUAUAGGUAUAGAUUAGAUAUAGGUAUUGGUUUAGGUAUAGGUGUAGGGUGUAGGGUAUAGGGUGAAGGUUGUGCAGGGUUUAGGGUAUAGGGUAUAGAGUAUAGGUAUAGAUUAGAUAUAGCUAGAAAAGGAUGUUGGGUACUUGACAUUUUCUCAACUAAGUUCAACCUAGUAAUAGAAAAUUAACUGGCGAACUUUUCAUUUUCUAAAUAAUGAGUAGUGCAGUGCGCGGCCCCACUCUAGGCCACCAUUAAAUCAUCUCAGGGCCCUUAACAUGUCUUAGCCUAACUCAUUAUGAACCUAUCUCAGUCAAAAAAAAGCAUAUUUACCUUAUUCGGCAAAGUUUACAUUUUGGGUGAGUUACUACCCUGGUUAAAAUAAAACAGACAAAAAUUAUUUCAUAAGAAUUAAAUUACAGAAAAUUUGAAUUUGACAAUUGUGCGAUAAAUGAAAUAAUGUUUAAAUGAGAAACUAACCAAAGAAAAAAAGUGUUUCAUUUGUGAACAAAAAACUUUGUUCUCUUGACAUUUCCUCUCAAAUUUUGGCAGUAAGAUUUAUGUAAACUUCCUGUGUAAACAGUUUCAAAUGCACUUCCCCCUUCUCACAUUUAUCCAAGUUUAAAUCUAUUCGAAAUCAGUAAAGAAGAUUCUUUAAAUCUUAAUAUAAAAUACAGAACAUUUCCAACCAUUGUUUUUAGCCUGCAGAAUUAUCUUUAAACAAAGGGAUGGGUCUGUUCUUUCAUUUAACGAUUUGUCUGCUCUGUGUGUCUUCAAAUAUCUGAACAUUCACUUAAAUUAAACCCUUUGUCAACAAUAAGAAAUACAUAUUGCGUAGAAUGAAGAUUCUACCUGUUGAUUUAUGUUGAGAAAAUGUCCAGAAAGGAUUUACUUUUCCUACCGCUUUUUUAUUUCCUAGCACUUUAAUUUAUCACUACAUAUAUGUACACAUAUAUUUAUCAUUUAGUCUUAUAUUGGUUUCUAUAUUGUGUACUAAAUAUUAUCAUUAUAGGACGAAAAUUAGGAAAAACUCUGAAGAAUAAGAUGAUAUAUUUUUAUUCUCCUCUUCACCACACUUGGACAUAUCAUUUUUCCACACUGUGCCACUGUAAUCUCUUCUUUAUUGUAGGAUUAGAUUAAAAAAUGGAAUAAUGCAUACUAGAUAAAGUAGAAUCUAAAAGGAAAAGGAAAAAGUUGCCACGUUGUAUAUUUCUGCUUGUUCUUGAAUAUCCUCAUCUAGUUUCUCAAUACUACUCUAUGAUAUGAAGAAAAAACUGGCUUGAUCUGAGUCAGCUUUAGACUAAUCUGUGGUGUGAACAAAAGACUGGAGGGAUCUAAGCAACUUUAGACUAGUCACUAGUGAGAAAACGCCAAUUAUGGAUCCUAGAUCAGCACAAGAACCCAAGCUUGGGACGGAUCCUGAUGAAAUGAAUGUUCCCAUUUUGUCAGUCCUUUGGGUAAUCUUCUUUGCUAUGUGUUUUCUAGUUUUCUUAGUUCUUUCACUUUGCAGUGAAUAUAACUGUUCCUGGUGCUCAUUCUGCAAACAAGGAAAU